GAUGAAGAACGUAGCGAAAUGCGAUACGUAAUGUGAAUUGCAGAAUUCAGUGAAUCAUCGAAUCUUUGAACGCACAUUGCGCCUGCCAGCACUCUGGCAGGCAUGCCUGUUCGAGUGUCAUUUCAACCAUCAAGCCCUAGGCUUGCGUUGGAGCCCUGCGGCUGCCGCAGGCCCCUAAAAGCAGUGGCGGGCUCGCUAUCACACCGAGUGCAGUAGAUUACUCUUCGCUCAGGGCGUGUGGCGGGUUCCAGCCGUGAAACCCCCUACUUCUCAAGGUUGACCUCGGAUCAGGUAGGAAUACCCGCUGAACUUAAGCAUAUCAAUAAGCGGAGGA
rnacentral:misc_RNA from 1 species